AAGUCGUAACAAGGUUUCCGUAGGUGAACCUGCGGAAGGAUCAUUAUUGAAAAUAAACCUGAUGGGUUGUUGCUGGCUCUCUAGGGAGCAUGUGCACACCUUGUCAUCUUUAUAUCUCCACCUGUGCACCUUUUGUAGCCAUCUUUUCCUAGGUGUCUAUGUUGAUUCUUCAUUUACCCCCAAUGUAUGUCAAUAGAAUGUUGUGAUAAAAAUCUAUACAACUUUCAGCAACGGAUCUCUUGGCUCUCGCAUCGAUGAAGAACGCAGCGAGAUGCGAUAAGUAAUGUGAAUUGCAGAAUUCAGUGAAUCAUCGAAUCUUUGAACGCACCUUGCGCUCCUUGGUAUUCCGAGGAGCAUGCCUGUUUGAGUGUCAUUAAUAUUAUAUAUCAAACCCUCUUUUUCUGGAGUGGUUUGGAUGUGGGGGGUUGCUGGCCUCUUGAAAGGGGUCAGCUCUCCUGAAAUGCAUUAGCGGAACAACCUGUUCGUUCAUUGGUGUGAUAACUAUCUACGCUANUGAAUGGUGAAAGGCAGUUCAGCUUCCUAACCGUCUUUUGGACAAUUUAACAAUCUAUAUGUGACCUCAAAUCAGGUAGGACUACCCGCUGAACUUAAGCAUAUCAAUAAGCGGAGGAAAAGNAACUAACAAGGAUUCCCCUAGUAACUGCGAGUGAAGCGGNNAAAGCUCAAAUUUAAAAUCUGGCGNUCUUUUGGUCGUNCGAGUUGUAAUCUAGAGAAGUGUUAUCCGCGCUGGACCAUGUACAAGUCUCCUGGAAUGGAGCGUCAUAGAGGGUGAGAAUCCCGUCUUUGACAUGGACUGCCAGGGCCUUGUGAUGCGCUCUCAAAGAGUCGAGUUGUUUGGGAAUGCAGCUCAAAAUGGGUGGUAAAUUCCAUCUAAAGCUAAAUAUUGGCGAGAGACCGAUAGCGAACAAGUACCGUGAGGGAAAGAUGAAAAGUACUUUGGAAAGAGAGUUAAACAGUACGUGAAAUUGCUGAAAGGGAAACGCUUGAAGUCAGUCACGUUGACCAGGGAUCAACCCAGCUUUUGCUUGGUGCACUNNNNNNGUUUGACGGGUCAGCAUCAGUUUUGACCAUUGGAAAAAGAUGAAGGGAAUGUGGCAUCUUCGGAUGUGUUUAUAGCCCUUGGUCACAUACAGUGGUUGGGAUUGAGGAACUCGGCAUGCCGCAAGGAUGUGCUUAGGAUGCUGAUAUAAUGGCUUUAAUCGACCCGUCUUGAAACACGGACC
rnacentral:rRNA from 1 species